ACUGAGCACAGAAAACUCCACAGGCCUGGGCUCGGCUUAUCGCACAGCCUCCAUCUCUGGAUGCCCUGAUUCAAGGAGAUUCAAAACCCGUGUCACUGCUGCCAUCUUCCUUGAAUCCCCUUAAAUCCUCAUGGAUUUGCUGACAUUGGGAGCAUCCUGAAAGAGUCCCCAUGCUAGGGUGGCUGCAGUAACAGGUUCUCCCCACUCCAGAAAAAAUCAAAUCAGAUUGUGAAUUUAUUCCCUGACAUUAACACAUGGCAUUACAGGAGCAUGUACAUCACAUGGUCAAUUUAUUGGCAUGAGGAUUAUGUCAUCAGGGAAUAAAUGGGAAAUUCUCAAGGUACUUUGCUCCAGUAAUCAGGACUUUAUUUAUCUCUAAGCUAAAAGAGGGGAUUGACUUCUUUAAUGAUGAUCAGAAAAUGCUUUUAGGAAGAUUCCUUUCCUAUUAAACAAUUUCUUAAAGUUGCA
rnacentral:lncRNA from 1 species